rnacentral:lncRNA from 1 species
CUUUUUGAUUUCAAUGAUUUUGAUACUUCCAUAUACACUUACAUACUCAGAAGUAUUUGAUAAAUAAGUACAAAUAACAAAUUACUCGUUAUAUAAUACUCUGCUACUAAAAAUUGACUUUAGUACUGACAAGUCCACCUCGAGAAAGAGAAGAGGUUGUAGGAGAGGUGGAUGUGCUUUUUCUUUCAACCCUGUCACCAACCAAGGCUGGAGCACCCGCGUUUACCCAGCCCCUCUCUCCCAUUACUGCUCCUCAUGCAGCCCUGGGCUCUCAGAAGGCUCAAAGGGUACUGGGGCCUGGCAGCGAGUAACACUGUUAAAUGACAAAGAACAGGAAGCUCCCUGUCUAUAUGGGUUUAGUAGCACCCCUCUUCCAAAACAAGACCACAGCAACUGCUUAAUCAGGGCUAGACAUCAGGGAGUGCAAGAUCCAGAGCCACCCAAUUCAACAAUUCGGUUUAGUCCUUUAUGAGACUUUACUGAGCACAUACUGUCUGUCAAGUUCAGCCUCAUAAGAUGUAGUCUCUGCCUUUGUGGAGGGGAGGUGGACAAGGAAACAGCCAGUUACAAUCUGGCUGGGUAAAGUCGGCAGAAGAGGUAAGCCUAGGGUGCUGUGACAGUACGUAAGAGGGGCACGGUGGGAGGGCUGCCUCAUUGCCUUAACUCCAGGAGGCACCAGCCACUUAAAACACAGUGUGAAUGGUGCCCCUGCAGGUGUGCAACAUGGCAGCCUGGCCCAUGCCCUGUCUCCGGCUCGUUGACAAAGGCUUCCCAAUGGAAGGGAUAGUUAAGCUGAGAUUUGAAAGAAGGAAGGAGAGAUCAUUUGGACAAUUCACACCAGGUUCAGAAGGGUGCGUGCACACACACACACUGUAAGCAUCACCCAAUCCUUUGAAAUGUGGACAGCACGUCCUCAGGUAUCAUCUACACACAACAAAAUGUACAGGUCUGAAGUAUUCAGGUCAACGAAUUUUGAAAAGUGAAUGCAUCUGUGUAACCACCAGUCAGAACAAGAUCUAGAACAUUUCCAUCACCCCAGAAAGUCCCCUUGUGUUCCUUUCCAG